UACAGAGGGUGCAAGCGUUGCUCGGAAUCAUUGGGCGUAAAGGGCAGGUAGGUGGUCCCAUUUGUCUGAGGUGAAAGCCUUGAGCUUAACUCAAGAAGUGCCUUAGAAACGGUGGGACUAGAGUGCUAGAGAGGGUUGUGGAAUUCCCGGUGUAGCAGUGAAAUGCGUAGAUAUCGUAAGGAAGACCAGUGGCGAAGGCGAAUCUCUGGACAGUUACUGACACUGAGGCACGAAAGCGUGGGGAUCAAACAGG
rnacentral:rRNA from 1 species